GAACUGAAGAGUUUGAUCCUGGCUCAGAUUGAACGCUGGCGGCAUGCCUUACACAUGCAAGUCGAACGGCAGCACGGGAGCUUGCUCCUGGUGGCGAGUGGCGAACGGGUGAGUAAUACAUCGGAACGUACCCA
rnacentral:rRNA from 1 species